GGGACUAACACAUGGGCACACCCACCAGGUAAGUUUCAGUCCAUCGCCUGCAGCGUAGGCCCCAAGGGGAGCAAGACUCCAGAACAGCUCCAGACUAGAGCUUUUGUGUUUGUCUUCCGUGAAACAUUUGCCCAUCUGUGAAUAUGUGACUGGGUGUGACAGAAACUUUGUUGUUAGCACCUCAUUCCCUGCCCAGGUAAAACUGAACCGACUGGAAAGAAAGCACUUCCCGAUCACCUAGUAGAAUACCACCCGCAGGACAGCAAUGAAUAAAGUUUGUCUUCAGUCCUCAACAACAAGAUGGGAGGGGGUUCCCGCAAAGGAAUAUGAAGGGGUCCGAAAGUGGUCAGAAGGGUGACUUGAAGCAAUCCCCAUUUCUCUCUGCAGUUCCUACUGAAGGAGCUUAGGUACUGUAUAAAAAAGGACUUUAGGGGUCAGGAAAGAUUAAGGGUCCCACAGCUGUGCUAGUGGGGGUGUCCCUGGAUCUCAGGCAUCCAAAAGAAGCACCUAGCCUUGGUGGUGGUGAACCCCAGAUGACACAGUGAGGAGCCCUAACAGAGUGACGUGCUACAUUUCUAGACCCUCUUAGUCCUCAUUUCCCAAAGUCAUCACACAAGUCUACCCUAGCAGCAGGGACUCAAGGGACACCCUUGUCACUGCCUGGAAGCUUAGUAUUGACAGGCUGUAAGAAAAUGGCAAGCAGCACCACAGCUACGUGCUGUGACUAAUGACCAGGGCACCUCUAUAGUCCUCUCGUGCUACCUCCAGUUCCUAGAGGAGCCCUUUGAGCCUGCAGUGAGAAAAAGAGGUCCAAGAGUCACCUGGGAACUGGAGAAGAGUGUUAAUUAAAUGAGCAAGGCCUUACUUUUCCUGUGAAAAUCACUUUAUAUUGUCUGGAGCAUGGGAAUGUAAAGGAGUAUUGGAAAAUGGGGUGGGGCGAAAUCUCUUUGCUUUGUCAUCUUUAAAAAAAUAAAAUACACAUACACACACCCUUCUGGUCUGUAUGAGCUACCUUGUAGUGAUCUUCCCCAGGGACUGGGCCCCGGCCCCCAUAAAAUUUACAGUUAGAGGAGGCCUUGUGCGCCUGGGAGUCUAGCUCUAGCCAACAAAUGCCUUUCUCCCAGACUCCCUUGCGCUUGAGCAAUGUGUGGGAGGUGGUUUAGGUUCCUUUGGGCCCCCAAGGACCCCCGGGAUCCCAGGAGCACCAAGAGCCCUCUGGACUUCGGCCAAGCCUUGUCUCCAUCUCCCCCUUCCACUUUUUGAAGCCACGCCCCCAGCUUCUGCCCCACCCCGCGCCCCGUGGCAGGGCCCCUCUGUCCCGGAAUCCCCAGGGCAAAUGGCUAACAGGUUCAGGCAUCCGCGUUCCUAUGCAAUGGAUUGGAGGAGGGGCAGUUUGAGACUCCUUACUCUCCCUCACCAGCUUCCCUUCUCCCUUUCCGCUGUUCAACAGGCUUUUCCCUCAAACCAGAGGAAGAGCCCCGGGGUGCAUUGAAGGCGCCCACCCAUCCAGAAGGAUCCAACCCGCGCCAUCCGGCUUCUUCCAGUGGGUGCCUGCAGGACUCAGUGACCACUACUACAUCAACAAUCUUGGGGAGAUGAACACAGAAGACUCCUUUCAAGAAAGUACGAUCAUCUUCCAAACACUGAAAUGUAUAUGCAUUUUACCACACUAG
ensembl:lncRNA